UAAGAUUGCCUGGAGUGUUUUCUUAUCGGUGCACCCGUAGGUUGUGGAUCGUGUCCCGUAAUGGCAGAAAUGUGUUCGUUGCUUGCCCGCGGCGAGACUUAGUCUCACAUCGCAUUUAUCACGUUAACUUUUCCACGGUUUACUCAGCGACAACGGUGGAAUAUGGAAACAAGCUAGUGGCUGUUUUUUCAAUGAUUUUCGAAAUGAAUUGACGUUCUAAUUUGCUCUGUUGGUUAAUUGCAGAUGACAUUGACGAUGAGAUCUGAUUCGUCAAAGUAAGAUUUGCUGAAUAUGUACGAAAACAGUUUCCAGUUAGAAGCGAGGAAGUCACGUCAAUUUUGCGACACCUACAGGCGAUACCGCCUAAGUAGCUUCUAGUCUUAUGUUUUUAUGCCAUAGAAAUGUUUUACUUGUUUAGUAUUAAUAAAUUUGAAAUGUUGAUAAUGAUACAUCAAACAGAUCGUUAGGAAUUUUAUGCAUAUGCAGAGCCACGGGUAUAUAAACGCGAGUGCAGGGUCUCGCUCACAUACAUUCCACCUGCGCUCGUCUAGAUAAAAGUAAGUACCUAGUGCAUUAUCUUUCUUAUUUUUAGAUUAACAAUAAACAUUCGCUUGUUUAAAAAAAACGCUGAUCAAUUGCAGCUGUGACCGGUUUGAUAAAUAUUUAGGUUCCGCGUUAUGUUCCUAAGCGUAACGCGAUUAAAUUUAAAGUCAAUUAAACAGUACACUCGCAUGAACGUUAGUUUUCCACGAGCUGUCAGCGAACGCAGAACGAUAACGACCAGUGUGUGAUGGGUUCUUCGAAAUUAUUUUGGUUACCUUACAGGUAACAGGUAUCUUUAACGUUAAAUUUUAAUUAAGUAUUGGUUGUUAUGGCAUUGCAGUGAACCCCACCAAAUGUCAGGCCAUCAUACUUGGUAGUGCGCGCUUGCUGUCUUUGACGGACACGAAGUACUUAGCCCCUAUCCAGUAUGAGCAAGUAGAUAUACCUUUUGUGCCGCAAGUGAAGAACCUGGGGUUGAUCAUCGAUAGUGGGCUGACCUGGGAUCCUCAGGUGUCUGACGUUUGUCGUAGAGUGACCAAUACUCUAAGAGCACUUUAUCGGUUCAAACAUUUUCUCCCGACCUGCACCAAGACUCUUCUUGUCCAAGCCCUCGUUCUGCCCAUCCUGGAUUAUGCUGAUGUGUGUUACAGCAAUCUCUCACAAGCUUACCUAACCAAGUUCGAUCGGUUACUUAACAAUUGCAUCCGGUUUGUCUUUGGACUCCGAAAAUACGACCAUAUCUCUGCUUAUCGCAAAAAACUUUACUGGCUCCCUAUUCGUGAACGUCGAUCCUUGCGUAUUCUCUGCACUUUGUUUACAAUUUUAUUUAAUCCUUCAGCCCCUGAUUACCUUCGUUCCAAAUUCAAAUUUGUUACUCCGCGCCCCGGCACCGAUCUCCGAACCUCCCGUAGCCUUCAACUUAUUGUCCCUCGACAUCGUACAGGUUUCAUGUCGAAUUCCUUCAACAUUCAGGCAAUCCGGCUGUGGAAUGAUCUUCCUCUCUCUAUGAGACAAGCCCAGAACAAAUUCUCCUUCAAGCGCAUGUUGCGCAAGCAUCUGUUUGACAAGGUUCAAAGGUCGUCCUCAUGAUGUUUCACAAUGGGUAUAUAUUUAUAUAUGUAUGUAUUUAUAUUUAUGUAUCAUAUUAUUUAUGUACGUAUAAUUUUAUAUAGGUAAUAUUGUGAUAUUUUUUUUUUUUUUUUGUCAUUUUACUCUGUAUUCUGACCCUGCACCAAUUAUGAUCUUUCGGUUUGGCUCAUGGUUGACUGGUAGAGAAUGCCUUCUGGCAUUAAGUCCGCCAUUUGUACUCUUCAUGUAUUGUGCAAUAAAGUUUAAAUAAAUAAAUAAAAAUAAGUACAAUAGUUAUAUUGCGAUAAUUCAGUGUAUACUCAGUUGGCGACCCAAAUUUCGCAGCUGUCUACUUACCGUUUAACUUUUAUGACCGAUUGUCGAUGAAAUAAGUUACAACGUUACCUGGUGAGUUCUAUUUUCAGAACAGAUACGAGAAUGAGGGAGCGGCUUAUGACGAUGACCUCUGAAGAAACCAAAAUAUAUUAGUUUUCAUAAACUUUUUUCUGGUUUUUCUAAAUUUAUGAUAGCCGCUACUUUCAAUUUGUGAUCAAAAAUCACAAACCGUUGUCUUGCGACCAUAAGAAUCUUAUAUAAGGAUUUUGUUCCAAGGUCCAAGAUGUGGGUAAGAAAAAAUACAGAGAAUAAGAUCGAUGCAGCAAUGAAAUCCCUCGAAGAGAUGAAGAUCAGCCCUGCAAAGGUCAAACUGGAUUCAUCUCGAAAUGCACCCACGUGUUACAAACCUAGACGUUUGUUUUACUGAUUGAUAUUUGUUCUAUUAUUAAUAAUGAAUAAUGAUCUCACUAUACUUUGGUUAAUUAUUCUUUAAGUCGCAAGUCCGCAUUCUGAUGAUAAUUAUGAAAUAUUUGCAUUGGUCAUAAAUUAUUUUAAUAGUUUUGACAUUUCGCAAUUGACUUUUUAAGCAGUUCUUUUGGUUCCACAUCGAGUGUUCAAAUAUAACCCAUGACAUCACGACUUAAUGCACAUUUUUAUAUUUUAGAUAAAAUAACCAGGUAAAAUUUAUGUUUUUGCGAAAUCAUGCCUCAUAUUAUUAUCAAGUUUUAUUACUAAACCCGAUGAAAACUAUGCAAAAACGUGUUUAAAGUGCGACAAUGCUAGGUCACGAUUAGGUUUAAGUAGGUAGGUUAAGGUUAGUUUGAAGUUAUUUUGGAUUUGAAAUACAUUCUAUUUUAAUAAGAAUUUUCUAGUUAUUUACGGUAAUCUUUUAUUGUGCAUCCGUAGAAAUUCCUUUUAAAUCUGUCAUAUUUCUUGAAACAAAGAGUUCCCCUCGAAAUCACUUCAUGCAAUACCAAUAAAUAAGCGGACUCGAAAUGUCGUUAAGUUCUUAGAUAUCGGAUUUGGAAGACUUCUUUGUACGAUUCGUUUCAACGGAAGCUCUUUGGUGGUCGAAUUAUCACUUAAUCAGCACAUGUUUAUGUAGAUUAUGAAUAAUUACAAAACUUUAGGACUUUCGUGAAUUCAAUCAGUUAUCUUCCCCUGGAAUUGUAUACCUCGUAAAAUUGUAUCAAACUAGAAACUAAAAACAAAGAUUUAUUUAAGAAUAUGAUGAUUUCAAGCAUUCAUUCGUUGAGGAUCUGGCACCUGGUUUACACGUCUAACAUGGAACGACCAGGAACUUCUCUCCCGCCGAAGCCGGAAAAGUACAAGAUAACAAGUCUCAAUUGUCUCAAAAGCCUCCCAGAAAAUGAAUAAUGUUAAUUGUAAUAUAUUUUUAAAAUAAAUAUA